CUCUAUUUUGGUGAUCUUCGUAGAUGAAAACUGUAGGUCGGAUUACUCUUUAACUCAUAAUUUAGCACAUUCAAUCGAGAAUCAUCUUAAAAAGGAUGGAGAUAAACUGAGUUUACAAGUUGGUUCAAACCUUUUUAACCUGCCAUUAAAGUACUGUAGCUUUUUUGACAAGACCCAUUUAGGGGGCAAGCUCCAUAGCAAGUUGUCAAGAAUGGCACACAACUGUACCUUUUGAUCUGUGCGCUAGAUUUUUACGUUUACAGGUAUGUUGUUUUGUAAAUUUACUGAAUGCAUUGCUGAUUUUAGAACUUGGCUGUCAGAUUGAUGAAGAGACUUCGAGUAAGCUUGAGGGUUUGUUGGUUUGUCGCUAAUUUUACAUUUUCAUAGUGGAUUAUACUCGGCAAUACUAUAUCGCUUUUACUGAAAGCAGCCUUUUACUAAUAACAGCCUUUUUUCAUGUGACAAGGAUGCUCCUCUAAACUCCAUAUUCUAAAUUUUUGGCAAAUUUGGUUGUGUUUGAAGUCGAUUGCUUUGAAUUUACUGGAGACAUUGGGGAAUUAACACGCAUUUGAUAUGUAUGGUUAUAACUUCAAUAGCUACACUUUUGCAAUCAGAGUUGGACCAAUUGUCUGUUAAUUUGUACGCUAACAUAAGAAGAAAGAUGACCAAGGAGCAAAGAAUGGAUUUAGUUAAAGCUGGAAGAGAAAAGCCCCUAUCAAUCGACAAAAGGUGAAACCUAUGAAAUACCUAAAAAUGAUUUCUUCAAUGAAGCUCGACUUGUGACUUGUGGGUCAGUGUAGCUGAUGAAGUUUCGGUUAACGAAAGAGGAAUAAACCUUCUAUUGAUUGAAAAAACAUAUGAUAAGCCUUCUUCUAAAGAUUAAUUUAUUUAGGAUUAUUUCAUUUCAAAUUUUACUAUUUUGGAUUGAUUUUUGUUUUUAGUUUA